CUCAGGAUGAACGCUGGCGGUCUGCUUAACACAUGCAAGUCGAACGCAACCUUCGGGUUGAGUGGCGGACGGGUGAGUAACGCGUGAGAAUCUGCCUUGGGGUCGGGGACAACCACUGGAAACGGUGGCUAAUACCGGAUAAGCCUUUGGGUAAAAGAUUUAUUGCCCCAAGAGGAGCUCGCGUCUGAUUAGCUAGUUGGUGAGGUAAAAGCUCACCAAGGCAGCGAUCAGUAGCUGGUCUGAGAGGACGAUCAGCCACACUGGGACUGAGACACGGCCCAGACUCCUACGGGAGGCAGCAGUGGGGAAUUUUCCGCAAUGGGCGAAAGCCUGACGGAGCAAGACCGCGUGAGGGAGGAAGGCUCUUGGGUUGUAAACCUCUUUUCUCAGGGAAGAAGCUCUGACGGUACCUGAGGAAUCAGCCUCGGCUAACUCCGUGCCAGCAGCCGCGGUAAUACGGAGGAGGCAAGCGUUAUCCGGAAUUAUUGGGCGUAAAGCGUCCGCAGGUGGCGAUUCAAGUCUGCUGUCAAAGCACGGGGCUUAACUCCGUUAAGGCAGUGGAAACUGAAUAGCUAGAGUGCCGUAGGGGUAGAGGGAAUUCCCGGUGUAGCGGUGAAAUGCGUAGAGAUCGGGAAGAACAUCGGUGGCGAAAGCGCUCUACUGGACGGCAACUGACACUCAGGGACGAAAGCUAGGGGAGCGAAUGGGAUUAGAUACCCCAGUAGUCCUAGCUGUAAACGAUGGAUACUAGGUGUAGCUUGUAUCGACCCGAGCUGUGCCGAAGCUAACGCGCUAAGUAUCCCGCCUGGGGAGUACGCACGCAAGUGUGAAACUCAA
rnacentral:rRNA from 1 species